GACGAACGCUGGCGGCGUGCUUAACACAUGCAAGUCGAACGAAGUGGCGAACGGGUGAGUAACGCGUAAUCAACCUGCCCUUCAGAGGGGGACAACAGUUGGAAACGACUGCUAAUACCGCAUACUGAAGGAGGGGAUUGCGGUUGGUGAGCGGGUUGGGGGGGUAAAGGCCCACCAGGGCGUAGAUCAGUAGCCGGUCUGCGGGAAUGAACUGCCACAUUUGGACUGAGCAACGGCCCAGACUCCUACGGGAGGGAGCAGUGGGGAAUCUUCCGCAAUGGACGAAAGUCUGACGGAGCAACGCCGCGUGAUGGAUGACGGCCUUCGGGUUGUAAAGCUCUGUUAAUCGGGACGCGGUACCGGAAUAGAAAGCCACGGCUAACUACGUGCCAGCCGCCGCGGUAAUAC
rnacentral:rRNA from 1 species